GAUGAACGCUAGCGGGAGGCUUAACACAUGCAAGUCGAGGGGCAGCAUAGGGUAGCAAUACUCUGAUGGCGACCGGCAAACGGGUGAGUAACGCGUAUGCAACCUACCCUGUACAGGGGGAUAACCCGGAGAAAUUCGGACUAAUAUCCCGUAAUAAUAUCCGGAGGCAUCUUUGGAUAUUUAAAGUUCCGACGGUACGGGAUGGGCAUGCGUAACAUUAACUGGUUGGUAAGGUAACGGCUUACCAAGGCUAUGAUGUUUAGGGGUCCUGAGAGGGUGGUCCCCCACACUGGUACUGAGACACGGACCAGACUCCUACGGGAGGCAGCAGUGAGGAAUAUUGGUCAAUGGGCGCAAGCCUGAACCAGCCAUCCCGCGUGCAGGAAGACGGCCCUAUGGGUUGUAAACUGCUUUUCCAGGGAGAGAAACUUACGCACGUGUUGCGUGACUGACGGUACCCUGGGAAUAAGCAUCGGCUAACUCCGUGCCAGCAGCCGCGGUAAAACGUGCGUG
rnacentral:rRNA from 1 species